GGCGGCAUCAAGCGGUAUGUGCUCCGCUCGGGUUCGGCGACUGUGUCGAUAGCGACUGCCUCGCCCUGCAAGGUGCUCCUGGUUAUGGUGAUUCUACAUAAUGAUCUUAGGAUCUGUUUUCAGACUGUUCUUCUUUAGGUUCAGGUCUGUACAUGCAUCUUAUGCUGGAUAUAUUCUGCAGCUCUGCUUAUGGAUUCUCAGUUUCCAGGUUCGUUCCAUGUGUUGUCCAUUUAUAAUUUGGCAUCGGCUGCUGUUUCAUAUGGUUGACAGGUAUGAUACCAGUAGAUAAGAUACUUGAUAGCGAUGUGUGGCAGAUUGUUGCGCCCUCUUUCUGUCAUCAAUAUCAUGUUGCUGCUGCUUCUGCUCCAAUGGCUGCAGCCCAGACUCGCCUACAAAGCAGGUAAAUUUUCUGAUAUUUUAGCUUCUAAAUUUUCUCUUUCUUAGUGCAUUAGUGGUUCAGAUUUGAAUCUCAGUUGCACAUAUAUUAAUAUGUAUGUUCUUUGAUGGGACUUCGUGCUAUACCACCAAUAAUAUUUUAUCUCCCAUUACCUUCUCAACUGAAGAAAGAUCCCGAUCUUUCAUUUGAGAUGAUCAUCAUCUCUGAAGCAUGAAGAAACAUCCAAGAAAUUUUAUGUAUCUUGACAGUUUUGCAAU